GAAAUAUUUUUGAAUCCUCACAAUAAAAUUUGAAAAACAUGAAUGAAAAUUUAUCAAAUGUAUAUUUCUAUCGCUUCCACAUCUUUCCUAUAAUUAAGCCAUUGCCACUGCGCAAGGAUGACACGCAAAAUCGUGAAGCGUUCCACAUUUUU